UACGGAGGAUGCGAGCGUUAUCCGGAUUUAUUGGGCGUAAAGCGAGUGCAGGCGGUUCAAUAAGUCUGAUGUGAAAGCCUUCGGCUCAAACGGAGAAUUGCAUCAGAAACUGUUGAACUUGAGUGCAGAAGAGGAGAGUGGAACUCCAUGUGUAGCGGUGGAAUGCGUAGAUAUAUGGAAGAACACCAGUGGCGAAGGCGGCCGCCUGGACUGAAACUGACGCUCAGGCACGAAAGCGUGGGGAGCAAAUAGG
rnacentral:rRNA from 1 species